rnacentral:rRNA from 1 species
AGCCUACGGGACGCAGCAGUGAGGAAUAUUGGUCAAUGGGCGCGAGCCUGAACCAGCCAAGUCGCGUGAGGGAAGACGGUCCUAUGGAUUGUAAACCUCUUUUUUUGGGGAGCAAAAGACGCCACGUGUGGCUUUCCGAGAGUACCCGAAGAAAAAGCAUCGGCUAACUCCGUGCCAGCAGCCGCGGUAAUACGGAGGAUGCGAGCGUUAUCCGGAUUUAUUGGUUUUAAAGGGUGCGCAGGCGGAAGAUCAAGUCAGCGGUAAAAUUGAGAGGCUCAACCUCUUCGAGCCGUCGAUACUGGUUU